UACAGAGGGUGCGAGCGUUGUCCGGAAUCACUGGGCGUAAAGGGCGCGUAGGCGGCUUUUCAAGCGUGCGGUGAAAGCUCGGGGCUUAACUCCGAGUCUGCCGUGCGAACUGGGAGGCUUGAGUCUGGUAGAGGUCGAUGGAAUUCCGGGUGUAGCGGUGGAAUGCGUAGAGAUCCGGAAGAACACCGGUGGCGAAGGCGGCAUCCUGGACCGGCAUUGACGCUGAGGAGCGAAAGCCAGGGGAGCAAACGGG
rnacentral:rRNA from 1 species